rnacentral:rRNA from 1 species
GAGCGUAGGGCGCGAGCGUUUGAUCCGGAGUUUACUUGGGACGUUAAACGCGCGUUAGGUGGCGUCGCAGUGAAUCGGUGAACUCGGACGCUCAACGCCGAGUCGGCCCUUGAUAACUGCGAGGCGUGGAGGCACUGGUAGAGGGCAGAUGGAAUUCCGGGAUGUAGCGGUGGAAUGCGUAGAGAUCCGGAAGAACACCGGUGGCGAACGGCGGCCUGCUGGGCAGUGGCUGACGCUG